CCUUCUUCUUCAUUUCACCAUUUAGUUAUUAAGUUAGGGUAAAUCAGGUUACAUUAUUUGGCAUUGUUUGGAUAAUCUAAAGUAUUGUUUCUCUUAUACUCUUGAUCCAUAGUGCUAGUAAGCUUUCUUAAUGGGGUGUAGUUCUCUGCCCCAGCCUGUUAGUGCCAUGGGCGUAUUUUUUUUAUAGUGGCGCCAAGUAUUUAUUAAUGGCGCCAAUGGUAAGGGUGAUGAGGUUAGGUUGGUACUCGUAAUUUUAAGGUUAUUUGGCAGAAUUAUAUUGUUUAAAAUGGUUAGGCUAGGUUACUUUAUGCAGUGAGGUUAGGGAGAUAGACUGUUGGGUUUGGUUGGGUACUUUACCAGAUGAGGUUGGGUUACUCUGGGUAGGGUUACAUUAUAUGGGUCAAUUUAUUCUACAUAGUGGGUUAGGUUAAUACAGAUGGUAGGGUUAGGUCACUUUACAUGGUGGGGUCAGUUUAUCUUAUAUGGUGGGUUAGGUUAGUGCAGAUGGUAGGGUUAGGUCACUUUAUGUUAUAUGGUGGGUUAGGUUAGUGCAGAUGGUAGGGUUAGGUCACUUUACAUGGUGGGGUCAGUUUAUUUUGCAUGGUGGAUUAGGUUAAGACACAUGGUGGGGUCAGUUUAUUUUACAUGGUGGGUUAGGUCAAUGCAGAUGGUAGGGUUAGUUUAUCUUAUAUGGUGGGUUAGGUAAUGCAGAUGGUAGGGAUGGAGGUGAAGAGGGAUUUGAUAAAUACAGUAAUAGUACCCUCACUCACACAUGCAAGCAAAACAUGGGCCUGGAAUGAAACUCAGAGGUCUAGAGUGCAGGCAGUGGAAAUGAGUUAUUUGAGGAGUGCUUGUGGUGUGAGUAGAAUGGACAGAAUGAGUAAUGAAAGUGUGUAUGAGCGUUUUGGAAUGUGUCAUGGGGGUGAAGGGAAGAAGUGUGGAGUCGUGGAAGAAGUGAAGCGACAGAGUUUAAAGUGGUUUGGCCACAUGGGGCGAAUGGAGGAGAGUAGGAUGACCAGGAGGGUGUAUGUGAGUGAGAUAGAGGGAGGGAAUGUUAGAGGACAACCUCCAGUGAAAUGGAGAGAUAGGGUGCUGGAGUACGUUAGGGAGAGGGGGGAAAGAUCAGUGGGAAACUUUGAGCAGGCAAGGAGGGAGUGUAUGAAUAGAGAGAGAUGGAAACUCUUCUGCCGUGGCCAUCCCCUGGUGGGAGCUCCUAGGAGUUGGCGUCGAUGAGAUGAUGAUGAUAUGGUAGGGUUAGGUCAUUACAUGGUGGGGUCAGUUUAUUUUACAUGGUGUGUUAGGUUACUCCGCAUGGUAGGGUUAGGUCAUUACAUUGUGGGGUCAGUUUAUUUUACAUGGUAGGUUAGUACAGUUAAUACAGAUGGUAGUGUUAUGCCACUUUACAUGGUGGGAUUUAUUUAUUUUACAUGGUUGUUUAGGCUAAUAUGGAUGGUAAGGCUAGGUCACUAAAAGGUGGGGUUAGGUUAUCUUGUUUUACAUUCUGGGGGAAGGUUACUUUCAUGGUGUGGCUGAAAGGUAAACUUGGGGCUAUCAAAACACCUCUCCAUCUGAAGCUGACCUCUCCUGACCUCUCAUUUCUAUUUUCUUUUACAGGGACAGUACUUAGCAGGCAUAUUUUUAUUUUUUGCCCUUGACUUCACUUCCUAAAAAAGAACCCUACUUCUAUUAUUACCACUGCUACGGUACUAUGGUUGUGUGUGGUUUUGGUGCUCAUCUCUGCUGCGUUGCUAUGGGUGGUUAGUGGAAAAUCAAACUAGGCCUUAUCACAUCAAUUAUUGGAUUUCCUUGACACCAGGGUCCUUAUCAGAUGAAUUACUUGAUCCCCUUGAAGCCAUGCCAGUUGAAGCUCCAAGGUGGUGUGUCAAGCGAGGGUGGGCAGAGGAAGUGAUUAAAGAAAAGAUGUGAAAAGAUAAGGUUGUUGUGCAGAGACAAUAUCCUGGACUGUGUUUUGUAUAAUUCUGGUCCUUUUACUCUGAAUUCAUAUACUUGUAGCUUCUUCCCUAAUCCCUUUUAUAUAGUCCAGUCCCAACAUCACUUCUCUUCCUCUUCAGGUUUAUGAUUUAGUUCUUAAUCUUUUUGUGUCUGAUUCUAGUAUAUAAUGAACACCGCACUGGUAUACCUCUACAUCAUACAUUGCUAAACUACUUUACUACUGCUACUACUACUAUUACUACUAUAGUCUGUUUCAUUCCGUCUGGCCACCAACAAAGCGGGAAUUUUGAUGUAUGUGGCACCUGCGCAUUUCUAGUUCGUGUAUGCGUGAAAAUCAACUGUUGUGAUAGACAUUCAAGCUUAUUUUUCAAUAAUAAUUUGAAUAUUUACGUAUACAAAAAACAACUCUGUCGUUUGCAUCGAUAAUCUAAAAUACAAGCACGCGAAAAUACAAGAUUGUAUCAAAUAACAUAAUCACAUCAUGCUCGAACGAUCUGUGUUUUUUCAAAUUCUUUGAUUGAUAGCUCAUUUCAUAUAUAUUAAAAGACAUCUGGCUCUGCAUGUGCAAAUAAAGGUUAUCUUAAUAAUUUACUGCAUGUAAAUAAUGAUUAAUAACAUAAAUAACAUGAAAGAGUAUAACUGUUGAAUGCGAUGCUAGGCUAUUUCGAAUAUUAGGCUACCCAUGUUAUUUACAUGCAACACGUUAAAAUGCCUUAUGUAUAGACACUUGCAGAGUCGUAUGUCACUUAAUUUAUGUAGCCUUUACCUGAAUGAGAUGAAAUAUGAGUAUCUGAAAGGCUAUAGAACAUUCGAGUAUGAUCAGACUAUACUGUUUGAUAAACAAGUUCCUUCGUGUGCUUGUAUGGUAAUUAUCGAUGAAAAUCUUCAGUGUGCGGUUCAUAUACGAUGGCUUGAGGGUUUUUAUAUACACAAACAUUUAAAUAUAUCACUGAAAAUAUAAAUUUGAUCUUCACGCAAUCACGAACUCACAAUGCGCAGGUGCCACAUCUACGUUCGCGAGUGGACAGACGGAAUGAAAUGGACUAUACGACUACUACUACUACUAUUGGGGCUAUCCAAACACCUCUGUCAGAAAUGACCUCUCUUCUGGCCUGUUAUUAUUUUUUUUUUAUAGGAGCAGUACUUUACAGGCUUUUUUCUUUCUACCCAUGAACUGCUUCCUCUACUAAAAUACUGCUACUACAACUACUACUGUAAUACUAUUACUACUGUUAUUCCUUCACCCUAAAUAAUACUGCUACUACUACUACUAAUAAUAAUAAUCCCCAAAUUGUGAACCGAUAUAUUCCUUAACUCGAGCUGCCUCCACCGCCA